UUUUUUAAAAUGAAUCAAUAUUUCUUAGUUAAAUUAUGUCAAGAAAGAAAAAAAUAUAGUUAAUUCGAAAAAAAGGAGGGAGGGUAUUUUACUUUGCUGCCGAAAUUACCUGAAAAUGAUGUAAAGUUUUAUAAUUAUAUGCGUAUGAAAAAAGAAACGUUUUAUUAUAUACUAAAUCUUAUAAAAGUUACAAUCACAAAAAAGAAAACGAAUUUUAUCAAGAAUCAAAUUACAUCAGAUAAAAAGUUAAUGAUUACCUUGAGAUAUCUUGCAACCGGGGAUUCAUAUGUCUCCAUAUCUUAUAAUUAUAAAUUAGGAGUAUCCACUAUUAAGCAAAUAAUAGGAGAUAAAAUCAAGGCUUUAUGGGAUAUUUUGCAACCUAUCCAUAUGAUGGUACCUACAUUAGAGAUGUUUGAGGAAGUAGCUCAAGGCUUUGAGGAGAUGUGGAACUUCCCAAACUG